rnacentral:rRNA from 1 species
CCUACGGGGGGCAGCAGUGGGGAAUAUUGGACAAUGGGGGGAACCCUGAUCCAGCCAUGCCGCGUGUGUGAAGAAGGCCCUCGGGUUGUAAAGCACUUUCAGUGAGGAAGAACGCCUGGUGGUUAAUACCCAUCAGGAAAGACAUCACUCACAGAAGAAGCACCGGCUAACUCCGUGCCAGCAGCCGCGGUAAUACGGAGGGUGCGAGCGUUAAUCGGAAUUACUGGGCGUAAAGCGCGCGUAGGUGGCUUGAUAAGCCGGUUGUGAAAGCCCCGGGCUCAACCUGGGAACGGCAUCCGGAACUGUCAAGCUAGAGUGCAGGAGAGGAAGGUAGAAUUCCCGGUGUAGCGGUGAAAUGCGUAGAGAUCGGGAGGAAUACCAGUGGCGAAGGCGGCCUUCUGGACUGACACUGACACUGAGGUGUGAAAGCGUGGGUAGCAAACAGGAUUAGAUACCCCUGUAGUC